rnacentral:tRNA from 9 species
UGCCCCGUGGCUGAGUUGGUUACAGCGGUUGACUGUUAAUCAGACGGUCGAGAGUUCGAGUCUCUCCGGGGCAG